rnacentral:rRNA from 1 species
AGUAAAUCUAAUUUUUAAGAAUUAUUCAAUAAAGGUACAGCUUUAUUGAAAAAGGAAACAACCUAAACCUUAGGAUAAUGAAUAUUUUUAAAUAGGUAAAAGGCCAAGUUGGCCUAAAAGCAGCCAUCUUUAAAGAUAGCGUCAAAGCUUCACCUUAAACACACCUUAAAUCUCAUUAUUUUUUCAUAAUCCAACAAUUCUACUAAGCCAUUCUAUACUUUUAUAGAAAAGUUUAUGUUAGGACUAGUAACACAGAAUAAUUUCUCUUACAUGUAAGUUUAAAUCAACCCGAAUACCUCCUUGAUAAUUACUCAAAUUUGAACCUUAAGUAGUACCUAUUAAUUACAAAAACCCUACUUAACUUAUUGUUAAUCAAACAUAUGGAUAUGAAAGAAAGAUUAAAAAAUUAAGAAGGAACUCGGCAAACACAAGUCCCGCCUGUUUACCAAAAACAUCGCCUUUUGAAAAGUAUAAAAGGUAACGCCUGCCCACUGACAGUAUGUUUAACGGCCGCGGUAUUCUGACCGUGCGAAGGUAGCGUAAUCACUUGUCUUUUAAAUGAAGACUCGUAUGAAAGGCAUCACGAGAACUUAGCUGUCUCCUUAAUUCAAUCAGUGAAACUGAUACCCCUGUAAAAAAGCAGGGAUGAUUACAUAAGACGAGAAGACCCUGUGGAGCUUAAAACAUAAGCUACUUCUAUACUCUACUAACUUAUAGUACUAAAAUACAAACCUAGCCUAAGUUUUCUGUUGGGGCGGCUGUGGAGAAAAACUUAUCCUCCAUGAAGAAAAAACUUUGAUCUACCGCUCUUAGUAUUAGCAAGCCUAACUUAAAUUGAUCCAAUUUUUGAUCAACGGACCAAGUUACCCCAGGGAUAACAGCGCAAUCCAUUUCAAGAGUCCCUAUCGACAAAUGGGUUUACGACCUCGAUGUUGGAUUAGGACAUCCUAGUGGUGUAGCCGCUAC